rnacentral:rRNA from 1 species
UGGGGAAUUUUGGACAAUGGGCGAAAGCCUGAUCCAGCAAUGCCGCGUGUGUGAAGAAGGCCUUCGGGUUGUAAAGCACUUUUGUCCGGAAAGAAAUCCUUGGCUCUAAUACAGUCGGGGGAUGACGGUACCGGAAGAAUAAGCACCGGCUAACUACGUGCCAGCAGCCGCGGUAAUACGUAGGGUGCAAGCGUUAAUCGGAAUUACUGGGCGUAAAGCGUGCGCAGGCGGUUUGCUAAGACCGAUGUGAAAUCCCCGGGCUCAACCUGGGAACUGCAUUGGUGACUGGCAGGCUAGAGUAUGGCAGAGGGGGGUAGAAUUCCACGUGUAGCAGUGAAAUGCGUAGAGAUGUGGAGGAAUACCGAUGGCGAAGGCAGCCCCCUGGGCCAAAUACUGACGCUCAUGCACGAAAGCGUGGGGAGCAAAACAGGAUUAGAUACCCUGGUAGUCCACGCCCUAAACGAUGUCAACUAGUUGUUGGGGAUUCAUUUCCUUAGUAACGUAGCUAACGCGUGAAGUUGACCGCCUGGGGGAGUAC